rnacentral:rRNA from 1 species
AACGAACGCUGGCGGCAUGCCUAACACAUGCAAGUCGAACGAGAUCUUCGGGUCUAGUGGCGCACGGGUGCGUAACGCGUGGGAAUCUGCCCUUUGGUUCGGAAUAACAGUUGGAAACGACUGCUAAUACCGGAUGAUGACGAAAGUCCAAAGAUUUAUCGCCAGAGGAUGAGCCCGCGUAGGAUUAGCUAGUUGGUGUGGUAAAGGCGCGCCAAGGCGACGAUCCUUAGCUGGUCUGAGAGGAUGAUCAGCCACACUGGGACCGAGACACGGCCCAGACUCCUACGGGAGGCAGCAGUAGGGAAUAUUGGACAAUGGGCGAAAGCCUGAUCCAGCAAUGCCGCGUGAGUGAUGAAGGCCUUAGGGUUGUAAAGCUCUUUUACCCGGGAUGAUAAUGACAGUACCGGGAGAAUAAGCUCCGGCUAACUCCGUGCCAGCCGCCGCCGUAA